rnacentral:rRNA from 1 species
UACGAGGGGUGCAAGCGUUGCUCGGAAUUAUUGGGCGUAAAGGGUAGGUAGGUGGUCUCAUUUGUCUGGGGUGAAAGCCUCGAGCUUAACUCGAGAAGUGCCCCAGAAACGGUGAGACUUGAGUCUUGGAGAGGGUUGCGGAAUUCCCGGUGUAGCGGUGAAAUGCGUAGAUAUCGAGAGGAACACCUGCGGCGAAGGCGGGUAGCUGGGCCGACACUGACGCUGAGGCGCGAAAGCCAGGGGAGCGAACGGG